GACUAUAAUGCAGUAUGCAGUAUUUCUUUGUCUCCCUUGCUGAUAGUUACGCGAGCAAAAAACAUCGGAAAGGACGCCACGUUUUUCCCAAAACGAGAUAGAACACUGCCACGUUCCAGAAGACGAUUUACGUAUGUAUGUACAUACAUACUUGGAUAUUUUUAAACCAACGGUUGCAAAUGGCAAAGAAGAAAACAUUCACGUUCUUCGAAAAUCAACGGAUAGAAGACGAUGGGUUUUUAAUGAUUUUAAUUAGAUUGGUAAGAUUAAAUUCGUUUUGAAACAUCAGUUUUCGACUAUUAUUAGUAGGCUGUCUACACUUAAUUACAUGUACUUCAAAAUGUAUGGAAAAAGAUAGACAUACUACAUAAAAGCAUUGCAGAAGUUAAUCUAACAUGAAUCUUGAUUCAUGCAACAAUAAGCUACUUGAAUUCUAUUUUUGUUCUCGAGGAAUUCUAAUCGCAUUAAUAGGUCCACGGCAGAUAAUUUCACAAGUAUUCACAUUGAUAUGGUUUUUGUAUUUUUCAGAAAGUAAUUCAUUAAACUUGCAAGAACUUUUUUGAAGGGGUAAAGGAAUUACAAAUAUGACUUGAUAUUUAUUUGGUUUUCAUUCCACUAACUGAAAAUGGUAUUUCAGUUUAUAAUGAUUAGGUAUACUCAAUGAAUAGUAGAAAAGUAUCAAUACUUUCAAGAGAGAUCAAAAGUACUAAAGUAUCAAUAAGUUCCUAAAGCAUGUGCCUGCAAGUGUGUAUCAAAUAAUAUCAAAAACAGAUAAGAAAAUGAAAUCAAUGAAAAUCUCAUCACUAAUCACUUAGUAAAAACUUUCAUAUACAAACGAAUACCCAUCAUCUCUAGUGCAUAAUCGUCGUCACGAGUCUUGAUGUAUCUACGUUUUGCGCAAAAGCAGCUUCAUUUAGUCUAUACGAGAUUUGCACACAGACACGCGUGAAAUCAAGCCGCGUAUCAAAGGAUUUGCAAGACAGUCACUCGAGGAUAGAACAAGAUUAAUCUCGAAUACGCGUUGAAACUUCAAGAUCUUUGAACUCGCAUGCUGUGCGAUUAUUAUAUAAAUAUUUUAAUUACUGGCGCUCGUUAUUUGAAUUUUAGAUUCAAAAUUGAAUGUCUACAUCGCUUUUUAAAAAACUUUUUAAGAAAUUUUCUAUGUAUUUUAUUUAGAACUAUUAGAAUUAAGCUAAAUUGUAGAUUGUUGUUUAAGCAAACGUUUAUUCAAAGCUGCGACUAGUUCAAUGCCCGAGACAAAGUCAUCGUCGUCCCGAGACUAUGUGCAUUACCCGCUAAAUUUCAGCACACUUCUCAAGGACUCGAAUGUACCCGAAAAACAGACAGUCAGACAGACAGCAAGUGUUUACCUCCGCCAAGUUCAGUUUCGUAGAGACGUUGAUAUAAAGCCAGUGCCUCUGGUCCAUUCACCUUUCAAGCUCCUUCUCUUGGGAGAAGACGAUAUUGCCAGAGUCACAGAGAGAAAUUGACGAUGCUUUUAUCUCCGCGUUUUCUUCAAGGAAAACGAAAGAUCAAAAGAAAGCGACGGUGAACGGGUAUAUAGAGCUCGAGUAUUAUAAUAUAAGAGCUUGAUGCGUGUAUGUAGGAAAUUUUCACUGUAAGGGGCGUUGUUGUUUCCUGUGAUUUAGAUGAUUAGCCUUGUGUCUGGCGUUUGGGGGAGGUUGCUCGAGUUAUGAGCACGAAUGCGAAAAUUAUGCUUAGGACGGAGACUAAUGAGGUUCAUUAUUGCUGAAUAAUGUGUACUCAGCGCUAUUUUUUCUGUUAUUAUUAUCAAUGUAUGUACUUAUAUCCGUGAAAAAUGUAUUUCUACAAGCUUUCAAUAAUAAAACUCGUAAUGGCAAGAUUAUGAAUCGCGAAAGCGUUUGUUUAUUGAGUAAGAUUUACGAUCGUACAAAUUAUCUUGUUUUUUUUAGAACAAGGAUUCAUAAGGGACUCCUUCAACCCCAAACCAUGGCAUCUUUCCCUCAAGAAACGGCUUAUCGAAUCAACGAGGAAGGCCAGUCUACUAUUCGAAGAACAGCCAUAAAUUAACCGAUCGAUCGAUUGCUCUAGCACAAUCGCCGUCGCCUGCUAUCUUCACCGGUAGCGCUGCCCAACAAUCAAUGCUGAUAAGAUGAGGCCUUGGUGGAUGUAAGCAUUGUUAUUCACGACAUUCCGGUCGACUCAAGCACUGAAUUGCUUUAUCACUGGACUGAAAGAUCGGAUGGAGUCGUGGAAAGUUGGCGAAGCUUAUUUGCAAAUAAGGAAACUACAAUGCGUUUGCCACGAAGAAGUUUACCGCCAUUUCAUCAUCAUAAAAUAUAUGAAGCUUUUCUUUAAUAUUUUGGUUGUAUGCCUUAUUACGAUUAUUUGCUACUAAACUACUAAACUUACUGCUUUACUAAUAAAUAAUUCUGCAUAAUACUGUGAUGAACCUUUUAUUUAAUGUUUUGUUUGUAUACGUUACCACUGUUAUGUGUAAAUUAUAAGCCUAUAAUAUUAUAAAAAAGAUAAGAAUAAUAAAAAAAAAACAAUAUUUCAGAUUCGGCAUCGAAGUUCAGCAUUUUCGCAGAGGAAGACGCGUUUGAUAGUGACUCAGUCAGUAAAUCAUUAAAUAAUGAAAGUGAUGAUGAUGAUGAGGAUGAUGCUGCAUUCAAUUUUCGUAGGCGACGCACAAGUCGUGGAAUAAAUCAUAUCGUUUCAUCCAGUGAAGAUGAUUUGCCGUCGGUUGUACUUAAAACGGACAAUAAAUACCUGGUCAAAAAACAAAGCAAAAGUAAAUCUUCAAAGCGGCAUUAUUCUAAUAAAAUGUUCAAUGUUGUGAAGAAGAAAGCACUCUUACACUGCAGUAAUUGCGACGCAGAUGCAAAUCUAGACGUCGUAGUGAAAUCUAAAAUUCAACCAAACUGCGAAAAAUGUUCGAAACCUUUGAUUUUUGUUUGCACCGUAUGCGAAAGUAAAAGUAGCUGUCUGUUGAGCAUGUAUAAUCAUUAUACUAGAAACUGCGAAGGUUAUAUUCCCCCCCGUAAAUUCUCGUGUACAGAGUGCUCAUUUAAAUCGAAGUAUAAAAAUAACCUCAAUAAACACAUAAGAAACCAACACACGGUUGAAAAGUGCCGUGGCUGCGGCAAAAGUAUCAGCUCUUACAGAGGAUUCUUGCAACACAAAUCGUCCAUGUGCCCAUAUGAGUUUAAUACUGAUUCACUCGUGAAGGUAUCGUGCAAAUUCUGCGAUUACUUUUCGAUAAGGAAAUAUCAUAUGACCAGACACAUAAAGAGAGUCCAUAAUAUUUAAAUUAUAGCUAUUAACACCAUCAGGAUUAUUUUUACUUGUUACAAGUAUUAUCAUGAAUAAUCAUGUUUUUUUACUUAAAAAAAAGAAAUGUUUUUAUUAAAAAAUUGGAUGUAAGCACAAUUCGAAUUUUUUUGUAGGUUUACAUGCAUUGAUUUAUCUAAUAAAUACAAGUUAUUCAACAUAAUUCAAAAAACGAAUUCUGAAAAAAAUACAUAAAUAAAUUUGAAAACAUUUAAA